UGAACUGGGUAUACCUGAAAGGGAGGCU
rnacentral:piRNA from 1 species